rnacentral:rRNA from 1 species
UACGGAGGAUCCAAGCGUUAUCCGGAUUUAUUGGGUUUAAAGGGUGCGUAGGCGGCUUAUUAAGUCGGGGGUGAAAGACGGUGGCUCAACCAUCGCAGUGCCCUUGAUACUGAUGAGCUCGAAUACACUUGAGGUAGGCGGAAUGUGACAAGUAGCGGUGAAAUGCAUAGAUAUGUCACAGAACACCAAUUGCGAAGGCAGCUUACUAAGGUGCAAUUGACGCUGAGGCACGAAAGCGUGGGGAUCAAACAGG